rnacentral:lncRNA from 1 species
CUUGCUGGAUUUCGGUUAGAGAAAUGGUAAAGUAUGUUUUUAUUAUAAGUACUGAAUACAUUCAAAAUUGUUUUCCGAUGAGCUAAAUCUUUUACGAACAAAUCGAAGGACACGUUUCAUUUGGUUGUUUUCUUCCUUUUCGUUUUCGGCCAUCGUCUUGGAAUCGAAAAAAAAGUCGACAGAAGUUUUAUUUUACUCUGUUGAUAACCCACAAUUGUUUGUGUCUGAAGACAGAGAGGGUGAAGAUUGUGUUGUCUUUCAGCCCUACGACGAAAUGAAUGGAAGCUUUUGGAAUUAUCGUCCACACAGGCCGUCUUGAUUAAAUGAGAAAACCUCGUUGACGAUUUCACCAGAAAGAAAAAAAAAACAGAAGGAAGAUUUUAACGAAGCGGAAGAGGAGACUUUUCA